UAGGUUAAAGUCCGUCGGAUUGGAUGACUUGUUGUUAUUAGUUGUUUGUGGGAUCAAGGUCCGCUGACCUAG
rnacentral:tRNA from 1 species